GGACCCAUGGCGCAACGGUAGCGCGUUCGACUCCAGUGAGACAUCGAAAGGUUAUCCGUUCAAAUCGGGUUGGGUUCA